CAGUCGAACGGUAGCAGGCCUUCGGGCGCUGACGAGUGGCGGACGGGUGAGUAACGCGUAGGAAUCUACCUCAAAGUGGGGGACAACUUAGGGAAACUUAAGCUAAUACCGCAUACGCCCUACGGGGGAAAGCGGGGGACCUUCGGGCCUCGCGCUAUGAGAUGAGCCUGCGUUGGAUUAGCUAGUUGGUGGGGUAAAGGCCUACCAAGGCGACGAUCCAUAGCUGGUCUGAGAGGACGAUCAGCCACACUGGGACUGAGACACGGCCCAGACUCCUACGGGAGGCAGCAGUGGGGAAUAUUGGACAAUGGGCGGAAGCCUGAUCCAGCAAUACCGCGUGUGUGAAGAAGGCCUGAGGGUUGUAAAGCACUUUCAAUUGAGAGGAAUACCUAUCCAUUAAUACUGGGUAGCUUGACAUUACCUUUAGAAGAAGCACCGGCUAACUCCGUGCCUGCAGCCGCGGUAAUACGGAGGGUGCGAGCGUUAAUCGGAAUUACUGGGCGUAAAGCGUGCGUAGGUGGCCUGUUAAGUCAGAUGUGAAAGCCCCGGGCUUAACCUGGGAACUGCAUUUGAAACUGGCAGGCUAGAGUUUAAUAGAGGGGAGUGGAAUUUCAGGUGUAGCGGUGAAAUGCGUAGAGAUCUGAAGGAACACCAGUGGCGAAGGCGACUCCCUGGAUUAAAACUGACGCUGAGGUACGAAAGCGUGGGUAGCAAACAGGAUUAGAUACCCUGGUAGUCCACGCCGUAAACGAUGUCAACUAGCCGUUGGCCCUAUUCAUAGGGUUAGUGGCGCAGCUAACGCAUUAAGUUGACCGCCUGGGGAGUACGGCCGCAAGGUUAAAACUCAAAUGAAUUGACGGGGGCCCGCACAAGCGGUGGAGCAUGUGGUUUAAUUCGAUGCAACGCGAAG
rnacentral:rRNA from 1 species